CUUGGUCAUUUAGAGGAAGUAAAAGUCAUAACAAGGUUUCCGUAGGUGAACCUGCGGAAGGAUCAUUAAUAGUGCCCAUUGAUGCAAAUCAUUGGGUUAGAUCUGCCCUUAUCGCAAGAUGAGGGCUUCCAUAUACACCGUGAACUGUGGCUUCGGCCAUCACAAACUGUUAGUAAUGAAUGUAAUAUCAUAACAAAAACAAAACUUUUAACAACGGAUCUCUUGGCUCUCGCAUCGAUGAAGAACGCAGCGAAAUGCGAUAAGUAAUGUGAAUUGCAGAAUUCAGUGAAUCAUCGAAUCUUUGAACGCACCUUGCGCCCUUCGGUAUUCCGAAGGGCAUGCCUGUUUGAGUGUCAUGAAACCUCACCCCACUUAGGUUUUUGCCUAAGCGGUGGUGUAUUGGGUGUUUGCCUUGCUAAAGGCUCGCCUUAAAGAUAUAAGCACCUUGGAUGUAAUACGUUUCAUCCUUCUGGGUGGCUGAUAACCCCACAUAUUCAUGAUCUGGCCUCAAAUCAGGUAGGGCUACCCGCUGAACUUAAGCAUAUCAAUAAGCGGAGGAAAAGAAACUAACUAGGAUUCCCUUAGUAACGGCGAGUGAACCGGGAUGAGCUCAAAUUUAAAAUCUGGCGUCUUUCAGGCGUCCGAGUUGUAAUCUAUAGAGGCGUUUUCCGCGCCGGACCGCGUCCAAGUCUCUUGGAAUAGAGUAUCAAAGAGGGUGACAAUCCCGUACUUGACGCGACAACCGGUGCUCUGUGAUACGUUCUCAAUGAGUCGAGUUGUUUGGGAAU
rnacentral:sRNA from 1 species